rnacentral:ncRNA from 1 species
AGCUGCUGGGGCCCAGACGGUGGCCAUGGAAGUCGGAAUUCGCUAAGGAGUGUGUAGCAACUCAACUGCCGAAUCAACUAGCCCUGAAAACGGAUGGUGC